UACGGGGGGGGUAAGCGUUGUUCGGAAUUACUGGGCGUAAAGGGCUCGUAGGCGGCCAACUAAGUCAGACGUGAAAUCCCCCGGCUUAACCUGGGAACUGCGUCUGAUACUGGACGGCUUGAGUAUGGGAGAGGGAUGUAGAAUUCCAGGUGUAGCGGUGAAAUGCGUAGAUAUCUGGAGGAAUACCGGUGGCGAAGGCGGCAUCCUGGACCAAUAUUGACGCUGAGGAGCGAAAGCCAGGGGAGCAAACGGG
rnacentral:rRNA from 1 species